AUCUAGCCCCGAUUGAGCGGCAUGUUUGAGCUCUUUUUUUGAUUCGGCUCGGCGGCAAAGCCGCCGAGCCGAAUCAAAAAAAAGCGAGUAGCGAAAGCGGGAAAAAGC
rnacentral:misc_RNA from 1 species